GAUGAACGCUAGCGGCAGGCUUAACACAUGCAAGUCGAGGGGCAGUAUAAAUAGUAGCAAUACUAUUGGUGGCGACCGGCGGACGGGUGCGUAACGCGUAUACAACCUUCCCUAAACAGGGGGAUAAUCUGGAGAAAUUCGGUCUAAUACCCCAUAACAUAAGAGCAGGCAUCUGUUUUGGUUAAAAUUUCCGGAGGUUUAGGAUGGGUAUGCGUAGCAUUAGCUAGUUGGUGAGGUAACGGCUCACCAAGGCGACGAUGCUUAGGGGGACUGAGAGGUUAACCCCCCACACUGGUACUGAGACACGGACCAGACUCCUACGGGAGGCAGCAGUGAGGAAUAUUGGUCAAUGGGCGGAAGCCUGAACCAGCCAUGCCGCGUGCAGGAUGACGGCUCUAUGAGUUGUAAACUGCUUUUGUACGAGGGUAAAGUGGGCUACGUGUAGCCUUUUGAAAGUAUCGUACGAAUAAGGAUCGGCUAACUCCGUGCCAGCCGCCGCGGUAA
rnacentral:rRNA from 1 species